rnacentral:pre_miRNA from 1 species
UUAACUCAGAUUUGUAUGGAAUUGAAUCGUUUGCGUACGUUUGCCGCUAGGGGCGCUGUUCCAGCUGCAUACAAAUUUGAGUUA